rnacentral:rRNA from 1 species
AGUAGUUUGAUCAGUGGCUCAGGAUGAACGCUGGCGGCGUGCCUAACACAUGCAAGUCGUACGAGCUCGAUCUUCGGAACGGGUUAGUGGCGCACGGGUGAGUAACACGUAGGUGACCUACCCCAGAGUGGGGGAUAACUUCUCGAAAGAGAGGCUAAUACCGCAUACACUCGGUCAUUCAUUUGGCCGAGCAAAGCUCCGGCGCUUUGGGACGGGCCUGCGUCCGAUUAGCUAGUUGGUAGGGUAAUGGCUUACCAAGGCUUUGAUCGGUAGCUGGUCUGAGAGGACGAUCAGCCACACUGGCACUGACACACGGGCCAGACUCCUACGGGAGGCAGCAGUGAGGAAUAUUGGGCAAUGGGCGAAAGCCUGACCCAGCAACGCCGCGUGAGGGAUGAAGGCCUUCGGGUUGUAAACCUCUUUUCUGGGAGAAGAGACAAGGACGGUAUCCCAUGAAUAAGUCUCGGCUAACUACGUG